AUUGAACGCUGGCGGCAUGCUUUACACAUGCAAGUCGAACGGCAGCACGAAAGAGCUUGCUCUUUUGGUGGCGAGUGGCGAACGGGUGAGUAAUGCAUCGGAACGUACCGAGUAAUGGGGGAUAACUAUCCGAAAGGAUAGCUAAUACCGCAUACGCUUUGAGAAGGAAAGUGGGGGCUCUUCGGACCUCACGUUAUUCGAGCGGCCGAUGUCUGAUUAGCUAGUUGGUGGGGUAAAGGCCUACCAAGGCGACGAUCAGUAGCGGGUCUGAGAGGAUGAUCCGCCACACUGGGACUGAGACACGGCCCAGACUCCUACGGGAGGCAGCAGUGGGGAAUUUUGGACAAUGGGCGCAAGCCUGAUCCAGCCAUGCCGCGUGUCUGAAGAAGGCCUUCGGGUUGUAAAGGACUUUUGUUAGGGAAGAAAAGGAUAGUGUAAUACCAUAUCUGCUGAC
rnacentral:rRNA from 1 species